rnacentral:rRNA from 1 species
GGUGAACGCUGGCGGCGUGCCUAAUACAUGCAAGUCGAGCGAACAGAUGAGGAGCUUGCUCCUCUGACGUUAGCGGCGGACGGGUGAGUAACACGUGGAUAACCUACCUAUAAGACUGGGAUAACUACGGGAAACCGGAGCUAAUACCGGAUAAUAUAUUGAACCGCAUGGUUCAAUAGUGAAAGACGGUUUUGCUGUCACUUAUAGAUGGAUCCGCGCCGCAUUAGCUAGUUGGUAAGGUAACGGCUUACCAAGGCAACGAUGCGUAGCCGACCUGAGAGGGUGAUCGGCCACACUGGAACUGAGACACGGUCCAGACUCCUACGGGAGGCAGCAGUAGGGAAUCUUCCGCAAUGGGCGAAAGCCUGACGGAGCAACGCCGCGUGAGUGAUGAAGGUCUUCGGAUCGUAAAACUCUGUUAUUAGGGAAGAACAAAUGUGUAAGUAACUAUGCACGUCUUGACGGUACCUAAUCAGAAAGCCACGGCUAACUACGUG